rnacentral:misc_RNA from 1 species
GAUGAAGAACGUAGCGAAAUGCGAUAAGUAAUGUGAAUCGCAGAAUUCAGUGAAUCAUCGAAUCUUUGAACGCACAUUGCGCCCACUAGUACUCUAGUGGGCAUGCCUGUUCGAGCGUCAUUAAGUCCACUUAAGCCCUGCUUAGUGUUGGGAGACUGCUCCAGCGGUGCUACCCUGUAGCUACCCUGCAGCUCCUCAAAGACAGCGGCGGAGUUGUGGUAUCCUCUGAGCUUAGUAACUUGUUCUAGCUUUCGAGUACACCACUUCCCCUGCCGUAAAACCCUCAAUUUUUAAUGGUUGACCUCGGAUCAGGUAGGAAUACCCGCUGAACUUAAGCAUAUCAAUAAGCGGAGGA